CUACGGGCGGCACCAGUGGGGAAUAUUGCACAAUGGGGGAAACCCUGAUGCAGCAACGCCGCGUGAAGGAAGAAGGUUUUCGGAUCGUAAACUUCUAUCAGCAAGGAAGAUAAUGACGGUACUUGACUAAGAAGCCCCGGCUAACUACGUGCCAGCAGCCGCGGUAAUACGUAGGGGGCAAGCGUUAUCCGGAAUUACUGGGUGUAAAGGGUGCGUAGACGGUUUUGACAGUCAGAUGUGAAAGCCCGAAGCUCAACUUCGGGACUGCAUUUGAAACUACAAGACUAGAGUACAGGAGAGGAAAGUGGAAUUCCUAGUGUAGCGGUGGAAUGCGUAGAUAUUAGGAGGAACACCAGUGGCGAAGGCGACUUUCUGGACUGUAACUGACGUUGAUGCACGAAAGCGUGGGGAGCAAACAGGAUUAGAUACCCCCGUAGUC
rnacentral:rRNA from 1 species